AUUGAACGCUGGCGGCAUGCCUUACACAUGCAAGUCGAACGGCAGCACGGGAGCAAUCCUGGUGGCGAGUGGCGAACGGGUGAGUAAAGUAUCGGAACGUGCCCAGUCGUGGGGGAUAACGUAGCGAAAGUUACGCUAAUACCGCAUACGAUCUAUGAAUGAAAGCGGGGGAUCGCAAGACCUCGCGCGAUUGGAGCGGCCGAUAUCAGAUUAGGUAGUUGGUGGGGUAAAGGCUCACCAAGCCGACGAUCUGUAGCUGGUCUGAGAGGACGACCAGCCACGCUGGGACUGAGACACGGCCCAGACUCCUACGGGAGGCAGCAGUGGGGAAUUUUGGACAAUGGGCGAAAGCCUGAUCCAGCCAUGCCGCGUGCAGGAUGAAGGCCUUCGGGUUGUAAACUGCUUUUGUACGGAACGAAAAGGUUUGGGCUAAUAAGCUGAGCUCAUGACGGUACCGUAAGAAUAAGCACCGGCUAACUACGUGCCAGCCGCCGCGGUAA
rnacentral:rRNA from 1 species